rnacentral:rRNA from 1 species
GACGAACGCUGGCGGCGUGCUUAACACAUGCAAGUCGAACGGUAAGGCCCUUCGGGGUACACGAGUGGCGAACGGGUGAGUAACACGUGGGUGAUCUGCCCUGCACUUCGGGAUAAGCCUGGGAAACUGGGUCUAAUACCGGAUAGGACCACUGCCUGCAUGGGUGGUGGUGGAAAGCUUUUGCGGUGUGGGAUGGGCCCGCGGCCUAUCAGCUUGUUGGUGGGGUGAUGGCCUACCAAGGCGACGACGGGUAGCCGGCCUGAGAGGGUGACCGGCCACACUGGGACUGAGAUACGGCCCAGUCUCCGCCGGGAGGCAGCAGUGGGGAGUAUUGCACAAUGGGCGCAAGCCUGAUGCAGCGACGCCGCGUGAGGGAUGACGGACUUCGGGUUGUAAACCUCUUUCAGCACCGACGAAGCGCAAGUGACGGUAGGUGCAGAAGAAGGACCGGCCAACUACGUGCCAGCCGCCGCCGUAA